AGAUUAAGUUAUUAAGGGCGCACGGUGGAUGCCUUGGCACUAGAAGCCGAUGAAGGACGUUACUAACGACGAUAUGCUUUGGGGAGCUGUAAGUAAGCUUUGAUCCAGAGAUUUCCGAAUGGGGAAACCCAGCAUGAGUUAUGUCAUGUUAUCGAUAUGUGAAUACAUAGCAUAU
rnacentral:rRNA from 1 species